AAAUCAGGAGGCUCGGGCGGCCGAGGUCCCGGAGCCGAAUCAGGUGUCCGGAGCCGGUACUGGUGUCUGCAGCAGACAGGUGCCAACUGAGAAUGGAAGAGGGGACACUAUGAACUGCUCAGCUCAGCUCAGGGGCAGGGAACCACUGUGCAGGCCCAAGCGAACAAGAGCAGGGCUAGAUGGCCCUCAAGCUGGCACAUUAUGGAAAGGAUGAUGCAGAGGUGACAGAUCCCACAACGUCUCGGCUUGGUGACUCGGCCAUGGCAUCUGCAAGCCGUUCCCGGAGGCCCUCCUCUGAGUGCUCCAUGGAGGACAUAUGCCGCAGCCCGAAGCCCUCAGGCCAGCUCCCACACACCUCCAGCAGGGUCACGCUCCGGUCAAAGGCUGGCUCCCAAAGAAACUCCAUUCACCCGCCACACAACGUAGAAGAUGGUGUUCCACGAGUUAACGGAAUUGGACAGCCCAUCAUCAAGUGACACACAGCCAUUAUCCCAGGGCAACGCAUCACGGACAGGUCUGUGGGAUGUCGGUAAAAGCACAGCCCCCCUAGCCCCCAGCCCCAUGCUUUCAGUCACCCAGAAGCAUGAUUCGAGCAGGGCUCAUGCCUGUAGCUCCAGCACUCAGGAGGCUGAAGUAAGAGGGCUGCCAUGACUUCCUGGACAGCCUAGGCUACAGAACAAAGCCUGUCUAAGUAUAUUAUAUGCAUGUACUGCAAUGUCCUUCUAUAACCCAGUACCAUGUACAAUGAAGAUACUUCAAGGAAGGACAACUGUUAAUUGUGUGCAGUAUACUUGGUAGUGAUAAUGAGCAGCUGUUAUUAGUUUAUAUAUCAUUGCUACUUUAGAGAGCAUACUUCUAUUUAUUAAAAAGAAGUUGACU
ensembl:processed_transcript 2610027K06Rik RIKEN cDNA 2610027K06 gene